UACGAAGGGGGCUAGCGUUGUUCGGAAUCACUGGGCGUAAAGCGCACGUAGGCGGAUCUUUAAGUCAGGGGUGAAAUCCCGAGGCUCAACCUCGGAACUGCCUUUGAUACUGGGGAUCUCGAGUCCGGGAGAGGUGAGUGGAACUGCGAGUGUAGAGGUGAAAUUCGUAGAUAUUCGCAAGAACACCAGUGGCGAAGGCGGGCAUCUGGGCCAACACUGACGCUGAGGCGCGAAAGCUAGGGGAGCAAACAGG
rnacentral:rRNA from 1 species